rnacentral:rRNA from 1 species
ACGGGAGGCAGCAGUGGGGAAUAUUGGGCAAUGGGCGAAAGCCUGACCCAGCAACGCCGCGUGAAGGAAGAAGGCCUUCGGGUUGUAAACUUCUUUUACCAGGGACGAAGGACGUGACGGUACCUGGAGAAAAAGCAACGGCUAACUACGUGCCAGCAGCCGCGGUAAUACGUAGGUUGCAAGCGUUGUCCGGAUUUACUGGGUGUAAAGGGCGUGUAGGCGGAGCUGCAAGUCAGAUGUGAAAUGCCGGGGCUUAACCCCGGAGCUGCAUUUGAAACUGUGGUUCUUGAGUGAAGUAGAGGCAAGCGGAAUUCCUGGUGUAGCGGUGAAAUGCGUAGAUAUCAGGAGGAACACCGGUGGCGAAGGCGGCUUGCUGGGCUUUUACUGACGCUGAGGCUCGAAAGCGUGGGUAGCAAACAGGAUUAGAUACCCUGGUA